UAACAGUCGAGCGGUACCACAGAGAGCUUGCUCUCGGGUGACGAGCGGCGGACGGGUGAGUAAUGUCUGGGAAACUGCCUGAUGGAGGGGGAUAACUACUGGAAACGGUAGCUAAUACCGCAUAAUGUCGCAAGACCAAAGGGGGGGACCUUCGGGCCUCUUGCCAUCAGAUGUGCCCAGAUGGGAUUAGCUAGUAGGUGGGGUAACGGCUCACCUAAGCAACUAUCCCUAGCUGGUCUGAGAGGAUGACCAGCCACACUGGAACUGAGACACGGUCCACACUCCUACGGGAGGCAGCAGUGGGGAAUAUUGCACAAUGGGCGCAAGCCUGAUGCAUCCAUGCCGCGUGUAUGAAGAAGGCCUUCGGGUUGUAAAGUACUUUCAGCGGGGAGGAAGGCGAUAAGGUUAAUAACCUUGUCGAUUGACGUUACCCGCAGAAGAAGCACCGGCUAACUCCGUGCCAGCAGCCGCGGUAAUACGGAGGGUGCAAGCGUUAAUCGGAAUUACUGGGCGUAAAGCGCACGCAGGCGGUCUGUCAAGUCGGAUGUGAAAUCCCCGGGCUCAACCUGGGAACUGCAUUCGAAACUGGCAGGCUAGAGUCUUGUAGAGGGGGGUAGAAUUCCAGGUGUAGCGGUGAAAUGCGUAGAGAUCUGGAGGAAUACCGGUGGCGAAGGCGGCCCCCUGGACAAAGACUGACUCUCAUGUGCAAAAGCGUGGGGAGCAAACAAGAUUAUAUACUCUGGUAGUCCACGCCAUACACGAUGUCCAUUUGGAUGGUGUGCCCUUGACGCGUGGCUUCCGGAGCUAACGCGUUAAAUCCACCGCGUGGAGAGUACGGCCGCAAGGUUAAAACUCAAAUGAAUUGACGGAGGGCCCGCACACGCGGUGGAGCAUGUGUUUUAUUCUAUACAACGCAAAAAAUCUUACCUGCGUCUUGACAUC
rnacentral:rRNA from 1 species